CUUUCGAUCUGGCCUUUUGGCUAAGAUCAAGCACAGUAUCUGUUCUUAUCAGUUUAAUCUCUGAUAGAUCACUCACUAGUACAAGCCCUCAUUAAAAAGACUCCUGGUAAAAUGUAAAUCAAUAUAAAAGUUUUUGGUGAAGUCCUCAAGAUUUUCAAGUUGGGAACCACUAGCUUAAGAGUAACUUUU
rnacentral:snRNA from 1 species